rnacentral:rRNA from 1 species
CCAGAAAUGGUGUGUGUCCAGGGUGUUGCGUAGUAUUCUUUAUGUCAAAACGACUCUCGGCAACGGAUAUCUCGGCUCUCGCAUCGAUGAAGAACGUAGCGAAAUGCGAUACUUGGUGUGAAUUGCAGAAUCCCGUGAACCAUCGAGUCUUUGAACGCAAGUUGCGCCCGAAGCCAUUAGGCCGAGGGCACGUCUGCCUGGGCGUCACACAACGUUGCCCCCCCCCUCAACUUCCAAGAGGACGGGGGGCGGAUGCUGGCCUCCCGUGCGCCACGGCUCGCGGUURGCCCAAAUAYGAGUACUCGGCGACGAGCGCCGCGGCAAUCGGUGGUUGUCCAAMCCUCGGUGCCAUGCUGCGCGCGCUAGCCGCUCACUGUUACUCGACGACCCCAAUGCGUCGUAGCCACGGCGCUCACAACGCGACCCCAGGUCAGGCGGGGCUACCCGCUGAGUUUAAGCAUAUCAAUAAGCGGAGGAAAAGAAACUUACAA